rnacentral:rRNA from 1 species
CCUACGGGAGGCUGCAGUGGGGAAUAUUGCGCAAUGGGCGAAAGCCUGACGCAGCGACGCCGCAUGAGGGAUGAAGGUCUUCGGAUCGUAAACCUCUGUCAGCAGGGAAGUACGGUCACUGUGCUAAUCAGCAGUGAAUUGACGGUACCUGUAAAGGAAGCAUCGGCUCACUCCGUGCCAGCAGCCGCGGUAAUACGGAGGGUGCGUGCGUUAAUCGGAAUUACUGGGCGUAAAGCGCUCGUAGGCGGUAUGUCAAGUCUAGGGUGAAAUCCCCGCGCUCAACGUGGGAACUGCCUUUGAGACUGGCAAACUGGAGUGUAUGAGAGGAUGGUGGAAUUCCAGGUGU